AUGGCCUUGCCGCCUGUUCAAGUGAGUUCACUCCCGUUUGAGAGACUGAAUGAUAAGAAUUGGCUGAGCUGGAGUGUUAGAUUUAAAGCUUAUCUGGUUUCUCAGAAAUUAUGGAAAAUAAUUGAGAAUUUGCCAGCUCAAUUAACUCCUGCUGAGCAACACCAAGAUGAAAGAGCAUUGGCGCUGCUUCAGUUGUCUGUGAUGGAUUCUUUGUUGGUUCACCUUCAUAAUAUUCCUCAUGCACAAACUGCAUGGAAUUUGUUUAAAGAUAUGUUCCAAAGACAAUCAAGUGGCUCAAAGAUAAUUCUUAUGCGCCAGCUGUUUAACCUUAAACAUGAGGAAGGCACUCCAGUUCAAUCUCACAUUACAAAAGUUGUGGCUCUUUUUUCGGAAUUGAGAGCAAGAGAUAUUAUUUUUCCUCCUGAGCAACAAGCAUUAAUUUUAAUGGGGUCUUUAUCUCGCUCUUAUUAUGCAUUUAUUGACUCUCUUCAUGGAAUUCCAGACACGGAUCUCACGAUACCGUUUAUUUCGGGGAAAAUAAUGGAAUUUGAAGCUCAACGUAAAUUGAGAAGUGUUGAUUCUAUACAGAAGAAUCUGGGAACUGUUUCUAAGGACACUGCUUGUAAAGACACUGCUUGUGUUGCUAAGCCAAAAUCACAAGUUGUAUGCUAUAAAUGCAAAAAGAAAGGGCAUUAUGCUAAGAAUUGCUGGCAGAAUCCAGGACAAUGGAAAAAUAAGCAGGUGGAGAGACCUAGUUCUUCAAAGGAUUUUCAGCAUGCUUUCCUGGUGACUUCUAAAAUGGAUACCAUGAACUCUUUCAUCAUUGACUCGGGCUGUUCUCAACAUUUGGUAAAGUGUAAGGAACUGUUAUCAAAUGUGAGAGACUCUGAUAUAAAUUUUAUUUCUUUGGCAGAUGAUAGAAAAGUACAAGUAAUUUCUUGUGGUGAUCUUUAUGUUGAUCGUCUAAAAUGUACUUUUGAGAAUGUGUACUAUGUAAAAGAAAUUGUGUAUAAUAUUCUCAGUGCCAACAUACUUUUGGAUGAAGGUUUUGAGGUGUCUUUAAAGAAAGAAAAGUCUAUGCUGGUUGAUCCUCAAGGUAACGAAGUGAAACUGAUACAAGAAAAUGGAUUUUUUAUUUUAAAGUCAUCUGAUAAUGCUAAUAUGUCUGCUUGCAUUAACCAGAUACCUGAUAAUCCCAGGCCAUUACAUAGCAAAUGUAUUCAUGAAUUUCAUAGAAAAAUGGGUCAUUUGUCAUGGCAGUAUUUAAGGCAGACAGCUGAGUUGUGUGAGAUUCCUAUUCAAGGAUGUAAGAAUUUUCUAGAUUGUGAAAUUUGUGCAUCAGAAAAUCUUAAGAAAGCUCCUAUUGCAAAAUACAGUACUAGAGUUUCAAAAAGGAUCUUAGAGCUUGUUCAUAUUGACAUAUCUGGUCCUCAUCCUACUUCUGUAGGAGGGUCAAAAUAUUUUUUGAUUUUGGUAGAUGAUUUUUCAAGGCUGAAAUUCACCUUCUUUCUAAAGACUAAAGGUGAAGUUUUUCAAAAACUUUCUGUUUGGCUGAAGUUAAUGCAGACACAGUUUCCUAAGUACCCGGUAAAAGCUUUUCAGAGUGAUCGUGGUGCUGAGUUUAUGUCCAAACAAAUGCAGAAUUUGUUUAAAAAAUUUGGUAUAGUCCACAGGUUAACAAAUCCUUACUCACCCAGUGAAAAUGGGGUUGCAGAAAGGUGGAUAGGCGUCGUAAAGGUUGUGGCUAGAAAAAUGUUAAGAGAUGCUAGUUUAUCUGAUGGAUUGUGGGCUGAAGCCGUGGCAAAUGCUACCUAUGUGCUCAAUCGUUCGUUUUGUAGAAGUGUUAAUAGUAUUCCUUAUGUAUUGUUUUUUGGGAAAAUUCCUGAUUUGAGUUCAAUCAGAGUUUUUGGAAGUGACUCAUUUGUCUUAAUUCCUUCUCAACAAAGACAUAAAAAGGAUGCUAUCUGGAAGAAAUUGAAAUAUCUUGGCCCUGCAUCUGAAUCAAAAGGUUGGAGGUUUUGGUGUGGUGACAAUCGAGUGAUUGUGUCUAGAAAUGUGAAGUUCCAACAAUAUAGUGGUUGGGAAAGGAUACAUUCAAAUAAGGAAGUGUUUGUGCCUUUUGAAACUGCUCAAAUUCACACACCUCAAGUCACACAGCCAACUACACAACAAGUUUCACAGCAGACUGCUACACAAACGAAUACACAGGUGCAAUCAGUGUCACAACAGACUGCACAGCAAAAUAUACAACCAAGCACUUCUCAAGAUACACAGUUGGGAACACAAGUGCGAGUGGAGCAAGAAUCUACUACUAGUCAGUUACAAGUUAGUAGUCCUGUGAUUAAACAAAGUGAAUCUCAAAAGAGAAAAGCUGAAGUUUAUAGUUCAGAAAGUACUAGCUCUAGUAGUUCUGAGAGUGAUGAGACUAAUGGAGGAGAUAGUACUAGGACUAUUCCUAGACGCAGUUCUAGGAAAAACAAGGGUAUUCCUCCAAAGAGGUACCAUUGUGAAGCUGUGAAAAUACAGGAACAUGACUGGUCUGAACCUCAUAGUUAUAAAGAGAUGUUGAAAAGAGAUGAAACUGAGAGAAAUUUUUGGUUAAAAGCAAUGCAAAGUGAAUUUGAUUCUUUGAAAGAUUUGCAGGUCAUGGUGAAGUCUGAAACACCUGACAAUGUAAAAGUUCUAAGUUGUCGUUGGGUUUAUAGACGUAAACAAACCAAUGAUGGUGGUUUUUUGUAUAAGGCCAGAUUAGUUGCCAGAGGCUUUGAACAGAUAUAUGGAGAAAAUUUUAAUGAAAUAUUUAGCCCCACAGUGUCUGGGGAAGCAUUAAGAAUAUCCCUUGCAAUUGCUAGCAAUAGGAAUUUAAAAGUUAAACAUUUUGAUGUGAACACUGCAUAUCUUCAUGCAAACUUGGAGGAGAAAGUUUAUAUAUCUGCUAUCCCAGGUUUUGAAACUGACCUUCCUGAAGGGUCUUAUCUUCUUCAGAAAAGUCUUUAUGGUCUCAAGCAGAGUGCGCGUAACUGGAAUUUACAUUUGGACAAAGUGUUAACAAAAUUGGAUUUUGUUGCUAACAAAUUUGAUCCUUGUUUGUACUCAAAAGGAAGUGGAAACACACAAAUGUUUGUUGUAAUAUAUGUGGAUGAUGUGUUAUGCAUUGGUUCUGAGGAACAAAUUCAGGAAGUAUUUCAGAGUUUGAACAAAGAAUUGAAAAUCAAAAAUCUUGGAGAUGUUAAUAAAUAUCUUGGCAUAAAUAUUGUUAGAAAUGAAGGAGGUUUUGAGUUAAACCAAACUGACAAGAUUUAUGAUCUUUUGAGAAGAACAAGAAUGGAAAAUGCAAACACUGUUAAUACACCCAUGGCACUUCAGUUUUUACAACAUGUAGAUGGAGAAGUGUUCGAUAAUAAUUUCAUUUAUCGUUCAGUUAUUGGUUCUUUAUUGUAUAUUGCAAAUAACACAAGGCCUGAUAUUUCUUUUGCUGUUGGUAUUCUAAGUCAAAGGAUUCAAAAUCCCUCACAUACAGACUGGGAAGGAGUGAAAAGAAUUCUGAGAUACUUAAAGCAAACAGCUGGAAAAGUUUUCAGAAUUUGCCCAGAUGAUAAAGAGUCUUUAACAAUACAUUGUGAUAGUUCUUUUGCAAAUUUAAAGGAAAAUAAAUCUAUUACUGGUUUUGUGAUAAAAUAUGCAAAUACACCAGUGUGUUGGAAGAGUAGAAGACAGAAAAUUGUGGCACUAAGUACUGGAGAAGCUGAGUUCUCAGCUUUAUCUGACGCUUUGACAUCAGCAGAAUGGUUAGAAUCUUUAAUUAAAAGUCUUAACAUUGAUUUAGAAUUGCCAAUGCAAGUUUUUGUUGAUUCUCAAACCUGUAUCGCUUUGAGUAACUGUCAAAAUAUGAAAACAAGGUCCAGAUAUAUUAAUGUCAGAUAUUCAAAUGUACAACAAUUUGUUAAAGACAAAAGAAUUGUUCUCAAUUAUAUUCCUUCAGUUGAAAAUGUUGCUGACAUUUUUACUAAACCUCUUUCUUUUGAAAAACAUAUAAUGAGUUUUGUAAGAAAUUGA
rnacentral:lncRNA from 1 species